UAACACGUGAGCAACCUGCCUUCGAGAGGGGAAUAACGGCUGGAAACGGUCGCUAAUACCGCAUAACGUACGGAUGGGACAUCCUGUCUGUACCAAAGAUUUAUCGCUCGAAGAUGGGCUCGCGUCCGAUUAGGUAGUUGGUGAGGUAACGGCCCACCAAGCCGACGAUCGGUAGCCGGACUGAGAGGUUGAAUGGCCACAUUGGGACUGAGACACGGCCCAGACUCCUACGGGAGGCAGCAGUGGGGGAUAUUGCACAAUGGGGGAAACCCUGAUGCAGCGACGCCGCGUGUGGGAAGACGGUCUUCUGGAUUGUAAACCACUGUCCCCAGGGACGAAAAUGACGGUACCUGGGGAGGAAGCUCCGGCUAACUACGUGCCAGCAGCCGCGGUAAUACGUAGGGAGCAAGCGUUGUCCGGAAUUACUGGGUGUAAAGGGAGCGUAGGCGGGGAUGCAAGUUGGGUGUCAAAACUACCGGCUCAACCGAUAGUCGCACUCAAAACUGCAGCUCUUGAGUGAAGUAGAGGCAGGCGGAAUUCCUAGUGUAGCGGUGAAAUGCGUAGAUAUUAGGAGGAACACCAGUGGCGAAGGCGGCCUGCUGGGCUUUUACUGACGCUGAGGCUCGAAAGUGUGGGGAGCAAACAGGAUUAGAUACCCUGGUAGU
rnacentral:rRNA from 1 species